GCGACAGCCUCGGAGCUGAUGGAGAGACAGCACGCAACUGGAAAAAAUUCAGACGUGGAUUUCAUGGAUCAAAUGGAUAGGUUGCCAAUGGUUUCAGCAUUGUGAACUGAAUAACACAACCUUCUUCCACUGAUGUGAUGUGUCAACAGCUGUUCUCCCAUUAGAUAAGGUGUAGCUUUCCAAAGGUCGGCCAUUUUCUCUCUACUCAAGAUGGUUACAUUCCAUUAUAGUACUUUUACCUUCUUGCUACAUCCAGCAGCCUGCUAAAGCACUGUGUUUAUAUUUUUGCCUUUC